rnacentral:rRNA from 1 species
AUUGAACGCUGGCGGCAGGCCUAACACAUGCAAGUCGAACGAGUGGCGGACGGGUGAGUAAUGUCUGGGAAACUGCCCGAUGGAGGGGGAUAACUACUGGAAACGGUAGCUAAUACCGCAUACCAUCGGAUGUGCCCAGAGGGGAUUAGCUAGUAGGUGGGGUAACGGCUCACCUAGGCGACGAUCCCUAGCUGGUCUGAGAGGAUGACCAGCCACACUGGAACUGUGCCACGGUCCAGACUCCUACGAGAGGCAGCAGUGGGGAAUAUUGCACAAUUGGCGCAAGCCUGAUACAGCCAUGCCACGUGUAUGAAGAAGGCCUUCGGGUUGUAAGGUACUUUCAGCGAGGAGGCGUUACUCGCAGAAGAAGCACCGGCUAACUCCGUGCCAGCCGCCGCGGUAAUUC